GCCUUCGUGAUGUAGUGGUCAGCACGCUCGACGUGUAACCCAGAGGUCCGUGGUUUGAUUCCCGGAGAAGGCG
rfam:Stegodyphus mimosarum contig118054, whole genome shotgun sequence.